rnacentral:rRNA from 1 species
AUUCCAGCUCCAAUAGCGUAUAUUAAAGUUGUUGCAGUUAAAAAGCUCGUAGUUGAAUUUUUGGUGGUUCCUGGGGUCCAAAUUGUUUUGGUACCUUGGGCACUGUCAUCCUUGGGUGGAACCUGCGAAGCAUUAGGUUGUUUUGUGGGGGAUGCCCAUCAUUUACUGUGAAAAAAUUAGAGUGUUCAAAGCAGGCUUAUGCCAUUGAAUAGAUUAGCAUGGAAUAAUGAGAUAGGACUUGGGUACUAUUUUGUUGGUUUGUGCACCAGAGUAAUGAUUAAUAGGGACAGUUGGGGGUAUUCGUAUUCCAUUGUCAGAGGUGAAAUUCUUGGAUUUCUGGAAGACGAACUACUGCGAAAGCAUUUACCAAGGAUGUU